CCCUUUCUCCGCAUCCUCGCCAGCAUCUGUCAUUAGAACAAACUUGAUGGCGAUUCCUGAUGGAUGCUUCUAGACCAUGAGGACCUUCUGAAGGAGUCCUGGGUAUAGUCUGAAAGCCUUCCAUUCACACCUUCAGAGGAGGAGAAGUCUGUCUGGGGAAAAACAAAGAAAUGAAAUACAGAAGCUUCUAUCCAGAAUUUUCGAAAAGGACAAAGUGGCAAAAUGUGAAACGAGAAUGAGACCAACAAAUG